AAGUAGCGUGAAGGAUGACUGCCCUAUGGGUUGUAAACUUCUUUUAUAUGGGAAUAAAGUGCAGUAUGUAUACUGCUUUGCAUGUACCUUAUGAAUAAGGAUCGGCUAACUCCGUGCCAGCAGCCGCGGUAAUACGGAGGAUCCGAGCGUUAUCCGGAUUUAUUGGGUUUAAAGGGAGCGUAGGCGGGUUGUUAAGUCAGUUGUGAAAGUUUGCGGCUCAACCGUAAAAUUGCAGUUGAUACUGGCAUCCUUGAGUACAGUAGAGGUAGGCGGAAUUCGUGGUGUAGCGGUGAAAUGCUUAGAUAUCACGAAGAACUCCGAUUGCGAAGGCAGCCUGCUGGACUGUAACUGACGCUGAUGCUCGAAAGUGUGGGUAUCAAACAGGAUUAGAUACCCUGGUAGUCCACACAGUAAACGAUGAAUACUCGCUGUUUGCGA
rnacentral:rRNA from 1 species